UCCCUCUUAGCUCAGUGGUAGAGUGCGUCACUAGUAUAUGGUGUUGUGCUUAUGACGAGGUCAGUCGUUCAAGUCGGCUAGAGGGAA